rnacentral:lncRNA from 1 species
GUCAUUCCCUCGAUAGAACAACGAAAGACUGGGUGACUUGAUGCAACUGUAAGCAUCUGAUAAUUUGUGAAUCCAUUGGCGCUAAUGCCUGAUUAGACGAGUGACAGGCACUGUGCGAUAACUCCAAAACUGGAUUUAAAACCAAUGAAAAGAGAGAAUUUAAACGGUUAGAGCUCUCUUUAUGACUGAAGUAUCCAAUAUACAGUUUUUAAGUUUUAGAAAACGUUUUUCAAUUAAUUUACCUUGCACUCUCAUUACUGCCAAUCCAGUGACUAUAAAAAAUGAUAGUCGUUUAUUUCUUACGUCGAGAUGUAUUUUUAAAAAGGAGGGUCACAAAAAAAAAAAAACUUACAAAAUAUUAGUCCGGUGAUAAAACCUAACCUUAAUCCUCAUUUUUACAGGUGCAAAAUCAAUCCUCCCAUCACCAAACCACACACAAUUGACACACAUUUCGUUACGCACUUAUUUGACACUGUAUAACACGUGUACAUAAACGCGCUCCAAAACUAUCGAAUCACAUUGAAAAAGUACCACGAACCGAAAAUCAGAAAUGCCCAAAUUCGAGGUAAACAAGCUAAAAUAAACAGGUUUAUUUAAAGUAUAGCAGAAUGCCUGAAACUGAGCGAAUAAUCCGAGGCUGGGGACGUGUCAUCGCAUGACUCUCUCAUAAAAUGACGCGGGCAACGGAUCAUCACCUGGGUAAAUAAAAAAUAUUCGCCGAUGCUCAAGCUCAUAUUCACACUACAGUCGUGGUAGGGCUGACUACAAUUAACUUUGUUUAAAAUGUCCGUGUUAAAGCUUCGAUUUAUCCUGUCUCCCACGGUUCUCGUAGCCGUGGCUUUACUGACAACCGCCAACUGCGAGAAUUCGGUUGAGGUGGUCGAUAAUCAGAUACCUCCACCGCCUGCAGAGGCCAAUCAAUCUGGGGAGGUGGCCGAAAAAUCAGGGCCGGAGGCGGCUGCAUUGGCCGAAAAAUACGCCCCCGGGCCGUAUUGGUCCAUGGCGACGAUCACAAACGCCCUGACACCGGUUUCGGACCUAUUCGCGCCGCCGACGUGCAGCCCGCAUCCCUUGGAACGCGUCUUCGAGAACCCUGACCUGGCUCCGCUCUUCAAGGAAUUGCCCAAUCUAAAAGAUGAGCUGAUGGCGCUCGCCCCUGGGGAUCAGCAGAACGCCGAAUUCCUCUUCAAGGUCUACGUCAGUUUGAGCAAUGCAGUUACUCCCUUCUUCCACCGAGCCGUUGAGCUCAUCACCGUGAGCGCCCCCAAGGUGACGGAUCUUGCCAAGUUCAACAUCGCCGCGGAGCUGUCCACCUACGUCCAGUCCGUCGUGGAUCCCAUCCCCAACGGAUUCUCGCUGGUUGCCAAAUAUAAAUUGAGACCUAGUAAGAAUCCAGGAAUCAAGGUUCCUUCUUUGCGAGAGCUUAGGAAUGUAGUCGGCCGCGUGGUGUUGAAGAACAUAGGGGCACCGCCUAUAUUAACCGUCAUCAGAUUGCACAUACAACUAUCAAUUUUGGUCAAAACUUAUAUUCGAAGGCAGGCGCAUAAUCUCUACAUGGAUCACGGGAAUCACCCUAUUAUGCUCAUAACUGACGCGAGCCAAACGAAGGAUGCUGCUAGUCAAACGAAGGACGCUAGUCAAACGAAGGAUGCUGGCCAGGCGGAGGAUGCUAACCAGGCAGAGAAUAAUACUCAAAAGGAGGAUACGAACCAAAAGAAGGAUAUCCCGGCCGAAUCGCAGCCUCAGCCGUCGAAAGAAGAACCGGCCGAAUCUCAUUUUCAACCUAUGAGAACCGUAUCGGAACACUUCAAGAAAAUAACCGGCAUCAUCAUAAAGCUCCCAAUAUAAGAGGCAGGAACACCGAAAAAAAG